rnacentral:ncRNA from 1 species
UAUUUGAUGACUGUAACGAAGUGUUGCGCACAUGGGUCAUUUUCAGCC